rnacentral:rRNA from 1 species
AACGAACGCUGGCGGCAUGCCUAACACAUGCACGUCGAACGAGACCUUCGGGUCUAGUGGCGCACGGGUGCGUAACGCGUGGGAACCUGCCCUUAGGUUCGGAAUAACUCCCCGAAAGGGGUGCUAAUACCGGAUAAUGUCUUCGGACCAAAGAUUUAUCGCCUUUGGAUGGGCCCGCGUUGGAUUAGCUAGUUGGUAGGGUAAAAGCCUACCAAGGCGACGAUCCAUAGCUGGUCUGAGAGGAUGAUCAGCCACACUGGGACUGAGACACGGCCCAGACUCCUACGGGAGGCAGCAGUGGGGAAUAUUGGACAAUGGGCGAAAGCCUGAUCCAGCAAUGCCGCGUGAGUGAUGAAGGCCUUAGGGUUGUAAAGCUCUUUUACCCGGGAUGAUAAUGACAGUACCGGGAGAAUAAGCUCCGGCUAACUCCGUG